AGUGAACGCUGGCGGUAGGCCUAACACAUGCAAGUCGAACGGCAGCACAGUAAGAGCUUGCUCUUACGGGUGGCGAGUGGCGGACGGGUGAGGAAUAUAUCGGAAUCUACUUUUUCGUGGGGGAUAACGAAGGGAAGCUUACGCUAAUACCGCAUACGCCCUACGGGUGAAGGCAGGGGAUCUUCGGACCUUGCGCGAUUGAAUGAGCCGCUGUCGGAUUAGCUAGUUGGCGGGGUAAAGGCCCACCCAGGCGACGAUCCGUAGCUUGUCUGAGAGGAUGGUCGGCCACACGGGAACUGGGACACGGUCCAGACGCCUACGGGAGGCAGCAGUGGGGAAUAUGGGACAAUGGGCGCAAGCCUGAUCCAGCCAGACCGCGCGGGUGAAGAAGGCCUUCGGUUUGGAAAGCCCGUUUGUUGGGAAAGAAAAGCAUCAGGUUAAUACCCAGCGGUACUGACGGUACCCAAAGAAUAAGCACCGGCUAACUUCGUG
rnacentral:rRNA from 1 species